CUCAAUUGUUGUUUGUAGGUUUUCAUUAGAAACUUUAUAUUUAAAUUCUUUGUUCUUUUUCUUUCGUUGAUCUUUAGUUUAUGGGAAGUACAUAUUUUUCUUUUUUAGUGAAAUCUUUUUAGAGAGAUUUAUUCAAAAAUAAUUAAUUUGGUGCCAGCAGUUGCGGUUAAACUAAAAUUUUAAGAAAAUGAUUAUUAAGGUUAAUAUUUAAUAAAACUAAGUUUUACGGUUAGGUGAAAUUUUUUAUUUAUCUAUAUUUUUUUUAAUAUUUUAAAGAAAUGAGUUAAUGGACUAGGAUUAGAUACCCUAUUACACUCAAUUGCAUAUUCCUUUAAAGAUUAGAUAUAAAAUUUGAAAAUUUGGCGGCUUUUUAAAUUAGAGGAACUUGUCUAUUUAAUUGAUAGUCCUCAUUAUUUUAGUUUUUAAGUUUAUUUUGUAUACCAUCAUUUAAAUGAUUUUUAAAUAAAUAAUUAUUAAAGUUCUUUUAAUAAAGCUAGAUCAAGGUGCAGAUAUACUUAAGAUUAGAUUAGUUACAAUAAUCGGUUAUACAGUAAUAAAUAAAUUUUUAGUGAAAGGUGAAUUUAAAUGUAAUAUAUUAUAUAUAUAUGAAAAUAAAAACUCAGUGUACAAAUUGCCCGUCACUCCCUUUCAGGGAUAAGUCGAAACAAAGUAGAAGAACCUGAAGGUUCUUCU
rnacentral:rRNA from 1 species